rnacentral:rRNA from 1 species
UUUUUAAUAGAUACAGAAAAUAAAAGAUUUUUUAAAUAGAAGCUUAUCUCUAAUAUAUAUUUUUGUAAGUUAAUCAAAGUUUGGAGACUGUUGGUUUGUACAAUCCAAUCAAGAUUUAUUAAUAAGCUUUUAAGCCAAUAUAAUUUACAGUGUAAUGUCCCAUUCCACGUCAAGAACCUCUGACUAAUAGAAUAAUGUAGGUAUAAGGGGAAGUCGGCAAAAUGGUUCUGUAACUUUGGGAGAAAGAAUGGCUCUGAAGGCUAAGCUAGUCGGGUUUAGCGUGGAAGUGCCCUUGGAUUGGAAGGACUGGAUGUGGUUCGGACCUUUAAUCUUGAAGGCAUGGAAGCGCUAGGCUUCAUAUACUUACGUAUAUACGUCUAGCUAUCAAUAGCUUGAUCAGAACUGACACGAGCAGGGGGAAUCCGACUGUUUAAUUAAAACAAAGCAUCGAGAUAGUCAAAGGGUGACAUUGACUCGAUGUGAUUUCUGCCCAGUGCUCUGAAUGUCAAAUGGAAGAGGUCCCAUUAAGCGCGGGUAAACGGCGGGAGUAACUAUGACUCUCUUAAGGUAGCCAAAUGCCUCGUCAGAUAACUACUGACGCGCAUGAACGGAUUAACGAGAUUCCCACUGUCCCUAUCUACCAUCUAGCGAACCCGCAGUCAAGGGAACGGACUUGUGGAUAUUAGCGGGGAAAGAAGACCCUGUUGAGCUUGACUCUAGUUUCGCUUGGUGGAGAGGAAUACUUGAAGUAGGAUAGAGAGGAGGUGUAAAAGCCAGUCUUGAAAUACUCUCACACGUAUGUCUUCUCUGCUUAAGAAGUCGGAAGGGAAAGACAGCUUGGCUUAAUGCCUUGCUUCAGUUGUAGAAGGAAGUUGAAAGGGCAACCCUAACCUCAGAGAGAGUGAGGCAGGGAGUUUGACUGGGGCGGUACAUCUGUCAAACGAUAACGCAGGUGUCCUAAGGUUGGCUCCUCAAGGAAAGAAACCUUGAAUAGAGUAGAAGGGCACAAGCCAGCUUGAGUUCUCCUUUCAGUACAAGGAGAACCUUGGAAACAACGGCCUAUCGAUCCUCUUUAAUUCGUGGUUUGAAGGAAGAGGUGACAGAAAAGUUACCACAGGGAUAACUGGCUUGUGGCUGCCAAGCGUUCAUAGCGACGUAGCUUUUUGAUCCUUCGAUGUCGGCUCUUCCUAUCAUUUUGAAGCAGAAUUCAGAAAGUGUCGGAUUGUUCACCCGUCAAAAGGGAACGUGAGCUGGGUUUAGACCGUCGUGAGACAGGUUAGUUUUACCCUACUAAUAGGGAGGACUAGUCUUGAGUAAGGCUCUUUAGUACGAGAGGAACCAGAGCCUGGUACCGCUGGUGUUUCUGUUGUUUGACUUGUCAGAGCAGAUGCGCUAAGUACUUUGGUUAAUAGCUGAACGCCUCUAAGCUAGAGACCAGUCUUGAGAGCUAUCUAUAUUAGUGUGAAUGUCGGGAAAGGAGCAGCUAGGCGCAAGCCUGGUAGAACGAAAGCUAUAUCUAUCUAACGCUCCCAAUCACUGUGUCCCAUGGAC